CACGUAGGGCGCAAGCGUUGUCCGGAAUUAUUGGGCGUAAAGAGCUCGUAGGCGGUCUGUUGCGUCUGCUGUGAAAACUCGGGGCUUAACCCCGAGCCUGCAGUGGAUACGGGCAGACUAGAGGUAGGUAGGGGAGAAUGGAAUUCCCGGUGUAGCGGUGAAAUGCGCAGAUAUCGAGAGGAACACCUGCGGCGAAGGCGGGUUGCUGGGCUGACACUGACGCUGAUGCGCGAAAGCUAGGGGAGCGAACGGG
rnacentral:rRNA from 1 species